GAUGAACGCUGGCGGCGUGCCUAAUACAUGCAAGUCGAGCGAACAGACGAGGAGCUUGCUCCUCUGACGUUAGCGGCGGACGGGUGAGUAACACGUGGAUAACCUACCUAUAAGACUGGGAUAACUUCGGGAAACCGGAGCUAAUACCGGAUAACAUGUUGAACCGCAUGGUUCAACAGUGAAAGACGGUCUUGCUGUCACUUAUAGAUGGAUCCGCGCCGCAUUAGCUAGUUGGUAAGGUAACGGCUUACCAAGGCAACGAUGCGUAGCCGACCUGAGAGGGUGAUCGGCCACACUGGAACUGAGACACGGUCCAGACUCCUACGGGAGGCAGCAGUAGGGAAUCUUCCGCAAUGGCGAAAGCCUGACGGAGCAACGCCGCGUGAGUGAAGAAGGUCUUCGGAUCGUAAAACUCUGUUAUUAGGGAAGAACAAAUGUGUAAGUAACUAUGCACGUCUUGACGGUACCUAAUCAGAAAGCCACGGCUAACUACGUG
rnacentral:rRNA from 1 species